ACUCAAAGGAAUAGACGGGUGCCCGCACAAGCAGUGGAGUAUGUGGUUUAAUUCGAAGCAACGCGAAGAACCUUACCAGGGCUUGACAUCCUGCUAACGAAGUAGAGAUACAUUAGGUGCCCUUCGGGGAAAGCAGAGACAGGUGGUGCAUGGUUGUCGUCAGCUCGUGUCGUGAGAUGUUGGGUUAAGUCCCGCAACGAGCGCAACCCUUAUUGUCAGUUGCUACGCAAGAGCACUCUGGCAAGACUGCCGUUGACAAAACGGAGGAAGGUGGGGAUGAGGUCAAAUCAUCAUGCCCCUUAUGUCCUGGGCUACACACGUACUACAAUGGCGGAGAACAACGGGAAGCGAAGGCGCGAGCCGGAGCAAAUCCCCAAAAGCCGCCUCAGUUCAGAUCGCAGGCUGCAACCCGCCUGCGUGAAGUCGGAAUUGCUAGUAAUCGCAGAUCAGCAUGCUGCGGUGAAUACGUUCCCGGGCAUUGUACACACCGCCCGU
rnacentral:rRNA from 1 species